UACGUAGGGGGCAAGCGUUGUCCGGAUUUAUUGGGCGUAAAGAGCGUGUAGGCGGCCAGACAGGUCCACUGUGAAAACUCGAGGCUCAACCUCGAGAGGUCGGUGGAAACCGUCUGGCUAGAGUCCGGAAGAGGAGAGUGGAAUUCCCGGUGUAGCGGUGAAAUGCGCAGAUAUCGGGAAGAACACCCGGUGGCGAAGGCGG
rnacentral:rRNA from 1 species